rnacentral:rRNA from 1 species
GACGAACGCUGGCGGCGUGCUUAACACAUGCAAGUCGAACGGUGAAGCGCCUUCCUUUUUGGUGGGUGUGGAUGAGUGGCGAACGGGUGAGUAACACGUUAGUAACCUGCCCCCUUCUUCUGGAUAACCGCAUGACAGUGUGGCUAAUACGGGAUAUUCUGGGUCUGUCGCAUGAUGGGUCUGGGACAGAUAUUGUUUCGGUGGGGGAUGGGCUCGCGGCCUAUCAGCUUGUUGGUGGGGUGAUGGCCUACCAAGGCGGUGACGGGUAGCCGGCCUGAGAGGGUGGACGGUCACACUGGGACUGAGACACGGACCAGACUACGACGGGAGGCAGCAGUGGGGAAUAUUGCACAAUGGGCGCAAGCCUGAUGCAGCGACGCCGCGGGAGGGAUGGAGGCCUGCGGGUUGUGAACCUCUUUCGGCAGUGAAGCAGGCCUGCCUCGUUUGUGGGUGGGUUGACGGUAGCUGGAUAAGAAGCGCCGGCUAACUACGUG